UUAUAGGUGUAUUCUUAUUCCCGGUGGUACUUUUUCCUAGGUCCAGAAACCCAGCCAUGCAAACAGCACUGCAAGAGGCAUGUUCCAUAAACCCCUGUCACCGACACAGAAGACAUACUGUAUGGCACCAGAGGGAUAUUUCAUCACUGACCUUCAGGAGAAACUAAAUGAACUGCACACAGUGACCACCACAGGAUGUCCUGCACACAGUAAGUCUGUGUAUAAAAGGAUCUCUUACAGUUAGGUAUAAUAACUGACAAACUGGAUCUGAUCUCACUGGAACAAAUCUACUACAUGGUGACUUGUUGAUAAAACAGAUCAAUACUCUACGCUGCCUUUAUUUUUUGGAAAAGGAAAUACACUUGAAAUAAAAACACAAGGACCUAAGUGGAGCUUAACAUUGUUAUAAUGUAGCCUGUAGUGUUGUUUAUUGUAAGCACAGUGGUGACUGAAGUACAGAAGGCUUCAGUAUGGUUUAUUGGCCUAACCCUCAAAGUAGCCCUGUUGCCAAAGCCACGGAGGCCAUUUAACCACCAAAUAAAAUGUAGCAUAUUAGUUUAGGAAUUGAGCACAUGAGUAAAGAAAUUGGUCCCUUGUUUUCAUUGAUUAAGUCUAGACUGGUCUAUGCUU